rnacentral:rRNA from 1 species
UACGUAGGGUGCGAGCGUUUAAUCGGAAUUACUGGGCGUAAAGCGUGCGCAGGCGGUUUUGUAAGUCUGUCGUGAAAUCCCCGGGCUCAACCUGGGAAUGGCGAUGGAGACUGCAAGGCUAGAAUCUGGCAGAGGGGGGGUAGAAUUCCACGUGUAGCAGUGAAAUGCGUAGAUAUGUGGAGGAACACCGAUGGCGAAGGCAGCCCCCUGGGCUAAGAUUGACGCUCAUGCACGAAAGCGUGGGGAGCAAACAGG